ACGGAAGGCAGCAGUGAGGAAUAUUGGUCAAUGGACGCAAGUCUGAACCAGCCAUGCCGCGUGCAGGAAUAAGGCCCUAUGGGUCGUAAACUGCUUUUGUGGUGGAGCAAUAAGUCGUACGUGUACGGCGAUGAGAGUACAUCACGAAUAAGCAUCGGCUAACUCCGUGCCAGCAGCCGCGGUAAUACGGAGGAUGCAAGCGUUAUCCGGAUUUAUUGGGUUUAAAGGGUGCGUAGGCUGUGGUCCAAGUCAGGGGUGAAAGCCCGGAGCUCAACUCCGGAACUGCCUUUGAUACUGGAUUGCUGGAAUACGGAUGCCGUGGGGGGAAUGAGUAGUGUAGCGGUGAAAUGCAUAGAUAUUACUCAGAACACCGAUUGCGAAGGCAUCUCACGAAUCCGUCAUUGACGCUGAGGCACGAAAGCGUGGGGAUCAAACAGGAUUAGAUACCCUGGUA
rnacentral:rRNA from 1 species